CCACGUAGCUAAACAUUAUUUUCUCUCUGAAUAUUUGAGAGUCGACGACUCUUUCACUUCCUGUUCGUCUCCAAACUCAGAAUUUACAGUUACCUUGGACACUACUUAUCAACAAUGAUGAUUUAAACUAUUCUUCGUUGUUUGUCCUUGAUUGUUUCGUUUCACCUCCCAUUUAUCCUCCUCCUAUAUAAAGUGCGUCUAAACCUAAAUCUACCCAAAAUAUUGGCUGUAGAAACGCAUCUUAGUGAUAUGUGAUUGGGGGCUUUUUGUCGAAAUCGCUUUCAAAUCGCUUUCAAAUGGAACUGAAGGCUGGACGUGUUGAUUCGAUAACUCAACACUUUUAGGCAGACUGCUGCAUCUACUGGAAAGAACAUCUCUAAAGCAAAUGCAUAAGUUUGAGAAAUAAACAAAGUUGCAGGGGAAAAGCUCCUUUGCAUAUAUGUUGGCAUUGGAUGAGAGAGAGCUGAUGAGAGGCAACGAGGAGUAACAAUGACCGUGUCUGUUGGUUAUUUCAAUACUAAAACACAUCUUGUUUUGUUAGACUCUCCUUUUAGUUUUCUGUUUUUCUUUUUUGGUGAAAUAUGUUAAGAUUCAACCAAGCUUUUUGUUUUACAGAGUUGUGGAUGGCCACUUAUUUGAAAGAGGGAAGAAGGGCAUUAUACAUAAUAAGGAAAAGAGAAAAAAAGAUGCAGUAAUGAUGGACAGUUAACAGACGUCGCAUGAAGGAUAGCAGCCUGUCCCUAACCAAUC